AUUGAACGCUGGCGGCAUGCUUUACACAUGCAAGUCGAACGGUAACAGGGAGCUUGCUCCGCUGACGAGUGGCGAACGGGUGAGUAAUGUAUCGGAACGUACCUUUUAGUGGGGGAUAACGUAGCGAAAGUUACGCUAAUACCGCAUAUUCUCUGAGGAGGAAAGCAGGGGACCUUCGGGCCUUGCGCUAAUAGAGCGGCUGAUAUCAGAUUAGCUAGUUGGGGAGGUAAAGGCUCACCAAGGCGACGAUCUGUAGCGGGUCUGAGAGGAUGGUCCGCCACACUGGAACUGAGACGCGGUCCAGACUCCUACGGGAGGCAGCAGUGGGGAAUUUUGGACAAUGGGGGCAACCCUGAUCCAGCCAUGCCGCGUGAGUGAAGAAGGCCUUCGGGUUGUAAAGCUCUUUCGGCCGGGAAAAAAUCGCAUGGGCUAAUACCCUGUAUGGAUGAUGGUACCGGAAUAAGAAGCACCGGCUAACUACGUGCCAGCAGCCGCAGUAA
rnacentral:rRNA from 1 species